rnacentral:rRNA from 1 species
UACGUAGGGUCCGAGCGUUGUCCGGAAUUACUGGGCGUAAAGAGCUCGUAGGUGGUUUGUCGCGUUGUUCGUGAAAACUCACAGCUCAACUGUGGGCGUGCGGGCGAUACGGGCAGACUUGAGUACUGCAGGGGAGACUGGAAUUCCUGGUGUAGCGGUGGAAUGCGCAGAUAUCAGGAGGAACACCGGUGGCGAAGGCGGGUCUCUGGGCCUUACCUGACGCUCAGGUGCGAAAGCUAGGGGAGCGAACAGG